UUGAUUUAAUUUUGAACGAGUGGCGGACGGGUGAGUAACACGUGGGUAACCUGCCCUUAAGUGGGGGAUAACAUUUGGAAACAGAUGCUAAUACCGCAUAAAUCCAAGAACCGCAUGGUUCUUGGCUGAAAGAUGGCGUAAGCUAUCGCUUUUGGAUGGACCCGCGGCGUAUUAGCUAGUUGGUGAGGUAACGGCUCACCAAGGCAAUGAUACGUAGCCGAACUGAGAGGUUGAUCGGCCACAUUGGGACUGAGACACGGCCCAAACUCUACGGGAGGCAGCAGUAGGGAAUCUUCCACAAUGGACGCAAGUCUGAUGGAGCAACGCCGCGUGAGUNAAGAAGGCUUUCGGGUCGUAAAACUCUGUUGUUGGAGAAGAAUGGUCGGCAGAGUAACUGUUGUCGGCGUGACGGUAUCCAACCAGAAAGCCACGGCUAACUACGUGCCAGCAGCCGCGGUAAUACGUAGGUGGCAAGCGUUAUCCGGAUUUAUUGGGCGUAAAGCGAGCGCAGGCGGUUUUUUAAGUCUGAUGUGAAAGCCCUCGGCUUAACCGAGGAAGUGCAUCGGAAACUGGGAAACUUGAGUNCAGAAGAGGACAGUGGAACUCCAUGUGUAGCGGUGAAAUGCGUAGAUAUAUGGAAGAACACCAGUGGCGAAGGCGGCUGUCUGGUCUGUAACUGACGCUGAGGCUCGAAAGCAUGGGUAGCGAACAGGAUUAGAUACCCUGGUAGUCCAUGCCGUAAACGAUGAAUGCUAGGUGUUGGAGGGUUUCCGCCCUUCAGUGCCGCAGCUAACGCAUUAAGCAUUCCGCCUGGGGAGUACGACCGCAAGGUUGAAACUCAAAGGAAUUGACGGGGGCCCGCACAAGCGGUGGAGCAUGUGGUUUAAUUCGAAGCAACGCGAAGAACCUUACCAGGUCUUGACAUCUUUUGAUCACCUGAGAGAUCAGGUUUCCCCUUCGGGGGCAAAAUGACAGGUGGUGCAUGGUUGUCGUCAGCUCGUGUCGUGAGAUGUUGGGUUAAGUCCCGCAACGAGCGCAACCCUUAUGACUAGUUGCCAGCAUUUAGUUGGGCACUCUAGUAAGACUGCCGGUGACAAACCGGAGGAAGGUGGGGAUGACGUCAAAUCAUCAUGCCCCUUAUGACCUGGGCUACACACGUGCUACAAUGGAUGGUACAACGAGUUGCGAGACCGCGAGGUCAAGCUAAUCUCUUAAAGCCAUUCUCAGUUCGGACUGUAGGCUGCAACUCGCCUACACGAAGUCGGAAUCGCUAGUAAUCGCGGAUCAGCACGCCGCGGUGAAUACGUUCCCGGGCCUUGUACACACCGCCCGUCACACCAUGAGAGUUUGUAACACCCGAAGCCGGUGGCGUAACCCUUUUAGGGAGCGAGCCGUCUAAGGUGGGNCAAAUGAUUAGGGUGAAGUCGUAACAAGGUAGCCGUAGGAGAACC
rnacentral:rRNA from 1 species